rnacentral:rRNA from 1 species
UACAGAGGGUGCGAGCGUUGUUCGGAAUUACUGGGCGUGAAGCGCGCGCAGGCGGCUCUUUAAGUCUAUGGGUGAAAGACCGGGGCUCAACCCCGUGUCAGCCCGGGAUACUGGGGAGCUAGGGACAUGUAGGGGCGAGCGGAAUUCCGGGUGUAGCGGUGGAAUGCGUAGAGAUCCGGAAGAACACCGGUGGCGAAGGCGGCCUGCUGGGCAGUUGCUGACACUGAGGCGCGACAGCGUGGGGAGCAAACAGG